AGCUCCAAUAGCGUAUAUUAAAGUUGUUGCAGUUAAAAAGCUCGUAGUUGGAUCUCAGGCGCCGGCGAGCGGUCCCUUUAACGAGGGCUACUGCUCGCUCGGCCCUACCCGCCGGUUUCCGGGAGUGCCCUUGACUGGGUGCUCUCGUCGCGAGCCGGAACGUUUACUUUGAAAAAAUUAGAGUGUUCAAGGCAGGCGCUUCGCCUGAAUAGUGGUGCAUGGAAUAAUGGAAUAGGACCUUGGUUCUAUUUUGUUGGUUUUCGGAACUCGAGGUAAUGACUAAGAGGGACAGACGGGGGCAUUCGUAUUGCGGCGUUAGAGGUGAAAUUCUUGGAUCGCCGCAAGACGAACUACUGCGAAAGCAUUUGCCAAGCAUGUUUUCA
rnacentral:rRNA from 1 species